rnacentral:rRNA from 1 species
AGCAGCCGCGGUAAAUUCCAGCUCCAAUAGCGUAUAUUAAAGUUGUUGCAGUUAAAAAGCUCGUAGUUGAAUUUCGGGACCAUCAUGUCGGUCGUGCCUCGGUACGUACUGGCAUUGUUGGUUUCUCCCUUCUGACGAACCAUGAUGUCAUUUAUUUGGUGUUGUGGGGAAUCAGGACUGUUACUUUGAAAAAAUUAGAGUGUUUAAAGCAGGCUCACGCUUGAAUACAUUAGCAUGGAAUAAUGAAAUAGGACGUUUGAUUCUAUUUUGUUGGUUUCUAGGAUCGACGUAAUGAUUAAUAGGGAUAGUUGGGGGCAUUAGUAUUCAAUUGUCAGAGGUGAAAUUCUUGGAUUUAUUGAAGACUAACUACUGCGAAAGCAUUUGCCAAGGAUGUUUU